rnacentral:ncRNA from 1 species
UAAAGAACGAUUAAAAGAUGAGUAAUUGGUGUCGCUGUUCAGCGAGUAUCGGGUUGGUGAAACGGUACCGGCACAACCAAUGAAGAUGGUCUUCUCCCUAGUUCGUUUUGGUGAGUGUCUGGUGAGCAACAAAGUAACCAGCAUUAACUAAAGCCGGUUUAACAACCGUUACCCGCGUUAGCAAUUGCCAAUCAUUUGGCAGCUGUAUCGAGUAGACUAGUUCACUAGCCUAGAACUCAGGUGGUACCACGGCCCAACGUCGUCCUGAAU